GGGGGUAUUGCUCAGUGGUAGAAUAUUCGACUGCAGAUUGAGAGGUCCCCGGUUAAAACCCGGGUGUCUUAUUCA